rnacentral:rRNA from 1 species
UACGUAGGGUGCAAGCGUUGUCCGGAAUUAUUGGGCGUAAAGAGCUUGUAGGCGGUUUGUCGCGUCUGCUGUGAAAUUUCGGGGCUCAACCCCCGAACUUGCAGUGGGUACGGGCAGACUAGAGUGUGGUAGGGGAGACUGGAAUUCCUGGUGUAGCGGUGAAAUGCGCAGACUAUCAGGAGGAACACCGAUGGCGAAGGCAGGUCUCUGGGCCAUAACUGACGCUGAGAAGCGAAAGCAUGGGGAGCGAACAGG